CCGAAAUUUAAAACUCACAACGCGAGUCUCGUGCGGAAGCAAAUAUGACUGCCGAGACUAUGUGACUCUUCAAGUCUUCCUUUGCUCAAGCCCAAACCACACUCGUGAAGCACAUGUGACGAGUCUGUGGUGAGCAUCGGGAGCACUGCGUUUCCUUCGGGAUUCACAGUCUAAAAACGAAUUGUAAAGUAUAUAUAUAAACAAAAAAAGACGAAAAAAAU
rnacentral:misc_RNA from 1 species